rnacentral:tRNA from 1 species
GGGGGUUUAGUGAAGUGGUAUCACGAGCGUCUCCAAAACGCUAAUCGGGAGUUCAAUCCUCUCAACCCCCG